rnacentral:rRNA from 1 species
AUUGAACGCUGGCGGCAUGCCUUACACAUGCAAGUCGAACGGCAGCACGGGUGCUUGCACCUGGUGGCGAGUGGCGAACGGGUGAGUAAUACAUCGGAACGUACCUUAUCGUGGGGGAUAACGCAGCGAAAGCUGUGCUAAUACCGCAUACGCCCUGAGGGGGAAAGCGGGGGAUCGAAAGACCUCGCGCGAUUAGAGCGGCCGAUGCCUGAUUAGCUUGUUGGUGGGGUAAAAGCCCACCAAGGCGACGAUCAGUAGCUAGUCUGAGAGGACGAUCAGCCACACUGGGACUGAGACACGGCCCAGACUCCUACGGGAGGCAGCAGUGGGGAAUUUUGGACAAUGGGGGCAACCCUGAUCCAGCAAUGCCGCGUGAGUGAAGAAGGCCUUCGGGUUGUAAAGCUCUUUUGUCAGGGAAGAAACACCGGCUCAAACACAGUCCGGGAAUGACGGUACCUGAAGAAUAAGCACCGGCUAACUACGUGCCAGCCGCCGCAGUAA